AUUAUGAUCACCGAAGUUAAGCAAUAUCGAGCCUGGUCAGUACCUAAAUGGGUGACAGAUUGGGAAUACCAGGUGCUGUAAG